rnacentral:misc_RNA from 1 species
GAAUUGUCCGGGCGCUGGGGAUGGCUGCUCGUGUCAGGCCUCGUCGAUCUUGUGGUCGCAGCGCUGAUCAUCGCCGGACUUCCCGGUUCAGCCGCAUGGGCGAUCGGAUUGCUGGUCGGCAUCAAUCUCGUCAGUCUUCGGCGGGACCUCCCUGAUCGGGAUGGCGCUCGCCGCGCGAAAUACCUAAUGCUGUGAGCCGCCUUUAGCAGCCUCUGCAAAUGCUCUUGAUCUUGCGAUCCAGCGCCUUGUCUUCGG